rnacentral:rRNA from 1 species
UACAGAGGUCUCAAGCGUUGUUCGGAUUCAUUGGGCGUAAAGCGUGCGCAGGCGGCUUCUCAAGUCAGUGGUGAAAGCCCGGAGCUCAACUCCGGAAUUGCCAUUGAAACUGUGGAGCUUGAGGACGAGAGAGGUGAGUGGAAUUCCCAGUGUAGAGGUGAAAUUCGUAGAUAUUGGGAAGAACACCGGUGGCGAAGGCGGCUCACUGGCUCGUUUCUGACGCUCAGGCACGAUAGCGUGGGGAUCAAACAGG